AAAAUGUAAUGAGUAUGAAAGGAAUAAUAGUUGAACCUCCCUGUCCUGGAAACAAAAGUAAAGAGUCAGUGUUUCGUUAUGUCAAAUGCUAGUGAUAGAGCAAGUGAGGUGAUGAAAAUGGAUUAACUGAUCCGCUGAAAAUGGAUGAAUGGAUUGAGCAAUAAUAGAAAGGUCAUCAGUAACCUUAACAAGAGCAAUGUUGAUGGAUUGCAGUGCGGAAUCCUGGAAGUGAGAUCAAAAGAGCAUGGGAACAGAAGAUAGGAAAACAAUACAGACAGCUAUUUCAAUGAUUCUUUUCUGUAAAGGGGCACAGAGAAAAGGCAUUGGUGCUGGAAGGGAUUUGCAUGUUCAAGAAAGAGUUUUAUUUAAAGUGAGAGAAAUUACAGCAUGUUUGACUGUAUGAUAAUAAGAAUGGUCUAGCCUGGCAUGGUGGCUAACACCUGUAAUCCCAGCACUUUGGGAGGCUGAGGCAGGCAGAUCAUGAGGUCAGGAGUUGACCAACAUGGUGAAACCCCGUCUCUACUAAAAAUACAAAAAUUAGCCAGGCAUGGUGGCACACGCCUAUAAUCCCAGAUAGGAGGCUGAGGCAGGAGAAUCACUUGAACCUGGGAGGCAGAGGUUGCAGUGAGCCGAGAUCACACCACUGUACUCCAGCCUGGGCAACAGAGUGAGACCCCGUCUCAACAAAAAAAAACAACAACAAAAACAACAACAACAACAACAACAACAAAAAGAAUGGUCUAGAAGAAAGAAGACUGGAAUGAUGAAGCAGAAGAGAAGGGAGGCUUACAUAACAUCUUGCGGUAAUGAAAGGGGAUGGAAUCUGGUAUAGGAUCCAGAUCCAGGACUUGAGCAUAGCAGAUUUUGGCAUCUGCGGGUUGUCCUGAAACCAGUGCCCCACAGAUAUGGAGAGCUGACUGCAUUCCAAGUGAAGUUCAUGAGGAUUCCUAGAGCAGAAAAGAAGACAGCAAGCUUAGAGGAUGGAGUCUCGCUCUGUUGCCCAUGCUGGAGUGCAAUGGCACGAUCUUGGCUCACUGCAACCUCUGCCUCCCAGGUUCAAGUGAUUCUCCUGCCUCAGCCUCCUGAACAGCUGCGAUUACCGGCGCGCACCACCAUGCCCAGAGAUAUUAAGGCAGAGAGCAGUUAAAUAACUUGCCAAAAAUUCUCAACAGGGACAAGGUCUUGCUAUGUUGCCCGGCCUGGUCUCAAACUCCUGGGCUUAAGCAACCCUCCCCAGUCCUGCCACCAUAGCCUCCCAAAGCCCUGGGAUUACAGGUGUAAGCUGCAAGAACUUCUUGAAAGGCAAUUCAACAUAGUGUUUAAAAGCAUGCAGGAGUCCUGGGUUCAAAUCUCCAUUCCAGCUCUAUCCAGGCCUCUGAGCCCAAGCUAAGCCAUCAUAUCCCCUGUGACCUGCACAUAUACAUCCAGAUGGCCUGAAGCAACUGAAGAUCCACAAAAGAAGUGAAAAUUGCCAGUUCCUGCCUUAACUGAUGACAUUCCAGCAUUGUGAUUUGUUCCUGCCCCACUCUAACUGAUCAAUUAACUUUGUGACAAUACACCCUCCCCACCCUUGAGAAGGCACUUUGUAAUAUCCUACCCCAACCCACUGCCCUUAAGAAGGUACUUUGUAAUAUUCUCCCCACCCUUGAGAAUGUACUUUGUAAGAUCCACCCGCUGCCCACAAAAAAAUUGCUCCUAACUCCACUGCCUAUCCCAAACCUAUAAGAACUAAUGAUAAUCCCACCACCCUUUGCUGACACUCUUUUUGGACUCCGGCUGCCUGCACCCAGGUGAUUAAAAAGCUUUAUUGCUCACACAAAGCCUGUUUGGUCGUCUCUUCACACGGACACACAUGACAUUUGGUGCCGAAGAGCUGGGACAGGAGGACUCCUUCAGGAGACCAGUUCCCUUGUCCUCGCCCUCACUCCAUGAGGAGAUCCACCUAUGACCUCGGGUCCUCAGACCAACCAGCCCAAGGAACAUCUCACCAAUUUCAAAUCAGCCAAAAUCCACAGUGAUCCACAUAAUACUCAGGAAUCACCCAGAAGGGAUUUCUAUCUGAAAGGAGAAAGAAGCUCUGGGGCAUGAAUAUACGUUGUCUUGUAAAAAAAUAAAUCAGUAAUUCAUGUGUGUAUAUUUUAUACUCAAUGGGAAAAAAUGUUUUAUUUAAAAAAACACUCAAUAUUUUACAUGACAUUGUGAAAAGGCAGCACGGAAUUACUCAUUUGCUUCCUUUUUUAAAGUUUUAGAUGAAAAAUAAACAUUUAAUCCCAUCACUUGUUCUUAAAUGUAAUAUUAUUUUGUUGUCCUUUACACCCCAGUUGUCACAGGUCAGAAACCCUGAGAGAAGCCAAGAUUGCUAAAAUGAAACUUUACUUCUAGAAACAACCCCAGAAUUAAAUGUUUCUCCACUUGGCAUGGAAUUUGAAGAUUGACUUUGAAUGCCACCUUGGAAUCUAGCAUUAGCCAGUUACUGCAAUAAAGAACAAAGGAAGGCUCAGAGGAAGUUGUAGGAAACCUCAGUGUGUCUGAGAUGACCUGCAGCAGAGGCCAUGCAACAAGGUCCCACCCCUGGGGACCUGGAGAUGUCACCUGAUAAUUACGGUUUUGGUGAAUAGUGAUAAAGAUGCCAAAAACAGUUUUACCAGCAAGCAUGACUACCUAGCAAUAGGAUUAGACCUGUGGUAACUUUGUAACUUUGGUCUGAUGUCAUAGUUUUGUGUGUGUGUGUUUUUUUGUUUGUUUGUUUGUUUUUGGUGUGACCGGAGUUAGUAAAAGCUGAGAGAAGUAGAAAGAUGAAAUAAAACAAACAGUCCAAGGUUACCCUGCAAAAAUUAACUCCAAGCCUGAGAAUCAGUAUGCAGAAAAAAUAGCAACGUGUAUAGUGUCAAUUUCUUUUUGUCAGCUCCAGUUUAUGAGAAGAAAAUGAUGGUAAAGAGUAUAGCUAAAAUUUUGGUCUUCUUUCAAGGUUUGCCAUGUAGAUAAAUGUGUCUAGGAGUUUGUAAACCACAAAACAACAGGGAAACUCAAUCCUCAAAACCUUCCAUUUACAAAUGAAAGCCUUCUCUUUACAGGGCUUACAGAAAUAACCAUACAAAAUUAGCCACUUACUGUUAUUUAUAACCACAUGGAAUAUGGCAAAAUAAUUUUGGCUUGAUUCUUAUUCCUGUUUAUACUGAUAAUCCCAACUGCCAUAUAUUCAAAUUCCAGAUAGAUGAGGCACUAGAGGUCUUAUGGAGUCUCUUUCUCUCUUUUCCUUUUUCCUUACCCAGUACUUUUUUUUUUUUACCCUUUCUCCUUGUAGUUCUGUGUGAAAUAUAAAACAAUUUUUGAAAAUGAUGAAACACCCUGCAUAAUUAGAUUUCAUCAUUUGUUCUCUUGCUUCUUUUGCCCCUCAUUGUAUAACAAUUGCAG
rnacentral:lncRNA from 1 species